CUUUGUAUGAGGUGGUAAAGGCAGUUCCAAGUGUUAUUCAUAUCAAGAUAUUAGGACAACAUGUUUUUAAGCAGAAAGAGAGUAUAUCCGUUACAUUUGUUCUUAGCAGCUUUAUUUAUAGGAGCAGAAUGUGCAGAAGAAGUAACUCAGGCACCUCACAUGAAAGCUUUGGAAGGGACAGAAGUAACAAUAUUUUGCAAUCAUUCUGUAGCUACAUCUUACAGUACCCUCUGGUAUUCUCAGAAGGUUUAUGAAAGCCCUAAACUUGAAAUCAUGAACUACGAUGGGAAUAAAAUAGACGGUCGAUUUACAUUAGAUGUUAACAGCAAAGUAAAGACAGCAAACCUAACCAUAAGGGAUGUAACAAUUGCAGACACAGGUGUUGUUUAUUACUGUGCAGUGAGUGACACAGUAACAAAAACCUGUCAGCUGCAGCACCAUAAACCUCUGGGUAUAACAGAAUGCACUUUACAGAAUAUGUUCCUAAGAAUAUCUGCAACUUGUUAA